rnacentral:rRNA from 1 species
GAUAAACGCUGGCGGCGUGCCUAAUACAUGCAAGUCGAGCGAACGGACGAGAAGCUUGCUUCUCUGAUGUUAGCGGCGGACGGGUGAGUAACACGUGGAUAACCUACCUAUAAGACUGGGAUAACUUCGGGAAACCGGAGCUAAUACCGGAUAAUAUUUUGAACCGCAUGGUUCAAAAGUGAAAGACGGUCUUGCUGUCACUUAUAGAUGGAUCCGCGCUGCAUUAGCUAGUUGGUAAGGUAACGGCUUACCAAGGCAACGAUGCAUAGCCGACCUGAGAGGGUGAUCGGCCACACUGGAACUGAGACACGGUCCAGACUCCUACGGGAGGCAGCAGUAGGGAAUCUUCCGCAAUGGGCGAAAGCCUGACGGAGCAACGCCGCGUGAGUGAUGAAGGUCUUCGGAUCGUAAAACUCUGUUAUUAGGGAAGAACAUAUGUGUAAGUAACUGUGCACAUCUUGACGGUACCUAAUCAGAAAGCCACGGCUAACUACGUGCCAGCAGCCGCGGUAAUACGUAGGUGGCAAGCGUUAUCCGGAAUUAUUGGGCGUAAAGCGCGCGUAGGCGGUUUUUUAAGUCUGAUGUGAAAGCCCACGGCUCAACCGUGGAGGGUCAUUGGAAACUGGAAAACUUGAGUGCAGAAGAGGAAAGUGGAAUUCCAUGUGUAGCGGUGAAAUGCGCAGAGAUAUGGAGGAACACCAGUGGCGAAGGCGACUUUCUGGUCUGUAACUGACGCUGAUGUGCGAAAGCGUGGGGAUCAAACAGGAUUAGAUACCCUGGUAGUCCACGCCGUAAACGAUGAGUGCUAAGUGUUAGGGGGUUUCCGCCCCUUAGUGCUGCAGCUAACGCAUUAAGCACUCCGCCUGGGGAGUACGACCGCAAGGUUGAAACUCAAAGGAAUUGACGGGGACCCGCACAAGCGGUGGAGCAUGUGGUUUAAUUCGAAGCAACGCGAAGAACCUUACCAAAUCUUGACAUCCUUUGACAACUCUAGAGAUAGAGCCUUCCCCUUCGGGGGACAAAGUGACAGGUGGUGCAUGGUUGUCGUCAGCUCGUGUCGUGAGAUGUUGGGUUAGGUCCCGCAACGAGCGCAACCCUUAAGCUUAGUUGCCAUCAUUAAGUUGGGCACUCUAAGUUGACUGCCGGUGACAAACCGGAGGAAGGUGGGGAUGACGUCAAAUCAUCAUGCCCCUUAUGAUUUGGGCUACACACGUGCUACAAUGGACAAUACAAAGGGCAGCGAAACCGCGAGGUCAAGCAAAUCCCAUAAAGUUGUUCUCAGUUCGGAUUGUAGUCUGCAACUCGACUACAUGAAGCUGGAAUCGCUAGUAAUCGUAGAUCAGCAUGCUACGGUGAAUACGUUCCCGGGUCU